rnacentral:rRNA from 1 species
GAAUAUGGGGGGACCAUCCUCCAAGGCUAAAUACUCCUGACUGACCGAUAGUGAACCAGUACCGUGAGGGAAAGGCGAAAAGAACCCCGGCGAGGGGAGUGAAAAAGAACCUGAAACCGUGUACGUACAAGCAGUGGGAGCCCCACCACUAAGCCAGUGGUGAACUCCACAUACGCAUCCUUUGCUGAGGAUACGGUUAACGGAGCGAAAGCGACGUUCAACCUCAAAAGAAGCAGAGGGGGCUUAGUGGUGGGGUGACUGCGUACCUUUUGUAUAAUGGGUCAGCGACUUAUAUUCUGUAGCAAGGUUAACCGAAUAGGGGAGCCGCAGGGAAACCGAGUCUUAACCGGGCGUUAAGUUGCAGGGUAUAGACCCGAAACCCGGUGAUCUAGCCAUGGGCAGGUUGAAGGUUGGGUAACACUAACUGGAGGACCGAACCGACUAAUGUUGAAAAAUUAGCGGAUGACCUGUGGCUGG